rnacentral:piRNA from 1 species
GUUGGACUUGAAGCUGCCCGGGCUUU